AGCAGCCGCGGUAAUUCCAGCUCCAAUAGCGUAUAUUAAAGUUGUUGCAGUUAAAAAGCUCGUAGUUGAAUUUCGGGAUCAGUACGCUGGUCGUGCCUUGGUAUGCACUGGUGUUACUGAUUUCUACCUUCUGACGAACCGUCAUGUCAUUAAUUUGGUGUGGCGAGGAAUCAGGACUGUUACUUUGAAAAAAUUAGAGUGUUUAAAGCAGGCUCGCGCUUGAAUACAUUAGCAUGGAAUAAUGAAAUAGGACGUUGAUCUUAUUUUGUUGGUUUCUAGGAUUGACGUAAUGAUUAAUAGGGAUAGUUGGG
rnacentral:rRNA from 1 species